rnacentral:rRNA from 1 species
AGCAGCCGCGGUAAUUCCAGCUCCAAUAGCGUAUAUUAAAGUUGUUGCAGUUAAAAAGCUCGUAGUUGAAUUUCGGAAUCUGUCCAUCGGUCGGGCUUCAUUGUCCGUACUGGUGUGGUGGGUUCUUACCUUCUGAAUAACCAGCAUGCCAUUUAUUUGGUGCGCUGGGGAAGCAGGACUAUUACCUUGAAAAAUUAGAGUGCUCAAAGCAGGCUAGUGCCUGAAUACAUUAGCAUGGAAUAAUAAAAUAGGACGGCAUGGUUCUAUUUUGUUGGUUUCUAGGAUCACCGUAAUGAUUAAUAGGGAUAGUUGGGGGCAUUAGUAUUCAAUUGUCAGAGGUGAAAUUCUUGGAUUUAUUGAAGACUAACUUCUGCGAAAGCAUUUGCCAAGGAUGUUUUCAUUAAUCAAGAACGAAAGUUAGGGGAUCGAAGACGAUCAGAUACCGUCGUAGUCUUAACCAUAAACUAUGCCGACUAGGGAUCGGACGAUGUUAAUUUUUAAUGACUCGUUCGGUCCG